rnacentral:rRNA from 1 species
AACGCGAAGAACCUUACCAGGAUUUGACAUGCUCUCUAUGGAUUGCUGAAAGGCGAUCCUUCAGUUCGGCUGGGAGAUGCACAGGUGCUGCAUGGCUGUCGUCAGCUCGUGUCGUGAGAUGUUGGGUUAAGUCCCGCAACGAGCGCAACCCUCGUCCUCUGUUGCUAACAGGUAAUGCUGAGAACUCUGAGGAAACUGCCGGUGAUAAGCCGGAGGAAGGUGGGGAUGACGUCAAGUCCUCAUGGCCCUUACAUCCUGGGCUACACACGUGUUACAAUGGCGGUGACAAUGAGCUGCUAGCCCGCAAGGGUAUGCGAAUCUCAAAAAGCCGCCUCAGUUUGGAUUGUACUCUGCAACUCGAGUACAUGAAAUUGGAAUCGCUAGUAAUCGUAGAUCAGCACGCUACGGUGAAUACGUUCCCGGGCCUUGUACACACCGCUACAGU